rnacentral:rRNA from 1 species
GACGAAGGAUUCAAGCGUUGUCCGGAUUUACUGGGUUUAAAGGGUGCGUAGGCGGAAUAUUAAGUCAGUGGUGAAAGCUUCCCGCUCAACGGGAAAACUGCCAUUGAAACUGAUUUUCUUGAAUACAGUUGAGGUAGAUGGAAUAUAACAUGUAGCGGUGAAAUGCUUAGGUAUGUUAUAGAACACCAAUUGCGAAGGCAGUCUGCUAAGCUGUUAUUGACGCUGAGGCACGAAAGCGUGGGGAGCAAACAGG